UUGAAAAAUUUUUAUUAUAAAAGAAAAAUUUAUUAUUUGUACCUUGUGUAUCAGGGUUUAUUAAAUAAUUAAUAGUUAUAUAUAUUGAUCUCGAUUUUAUAAGAGUUAAUAAUUUAUGAAAGUUAAUGUAUCAUAAUUAUUUUAAAUAAAUUAUUAGAAAUGAAAUGUUAUUCGUUUAUAAAGGUAUCUAGUUUUUUUAGAAAUAAAUUUAAUUUAGUAAUUUUUAAUUUAUUUAUUAAUUAAUUAAUAAAUAAAAUUAUUAAUUAAAAUAUUUUAAGGGAUAAGCUUUAAAAUAAAUUAUUAUAAAUUAUUUAAAUUUUUAGUUGAAGUAUAUGCGUAGAAUUAGCAAUUAUUUAAAAUUUUGUUAUAAAUUAUUUUGAAAUUAUAUUAUUUAUUAAUAUUUUAAUUUUAUUUAUAAAAAUUUUUUAAUUAAUUAAAUUUUAAAAUUAAUAAUGAUAAAAUUAGUAUAUAUAUAUUGUGUUUUUAUAAUUUUAAUUGAUAAGUUUAUAUAAAGAACUCGGCAAAUAUUUUACUCGCCUGUUUAACAAAAACAUGUCUUUUUGAGUUAUUUUAAAAGUCUAACCUGCCCAAUGAAUUAGUUUUUAAUGGCCGCAGUAUUUUGACUGUGCAAAGGUAGCAUAAUCAUUAGUCUUUUAAUUGAAGGCUUGUAUGAAUGGUUGGACGAAGUAUAAACUGUUUCAUAUAAAAUUUUUAUAGAAUUUUAUAUUUUAGUAAAAAAGCUAAAAUAUAAUUAAAAGACGAGAAGACCCUAUAAAUCUUUAUAAUUUUUAUUAUUUUUAUUUUUUAGAUUAAUUUUAUUUUUAUAAUAAAAAUUAUUUUAUUGGGGUGAUAUUAAAAUUUAUUUAACUUUUAAUUUUAUAUAACAUUAAUUUAUGUAUUAUUGAUCCUUUAUUAUUGAUUAUAAGAAUAAGUUACUUUAGGGAUAACAGCGUAAUUUUUUUGGAGAGUUCAUAUUGAUAAAAAAGUUUGCGACCUCGAUGUUGGAUUAAGAUAUAAUUUUAGGUGUA
rnacentral:rRNA from 1 species